rnacentral:tRNA from 1 species
GGGGAUUUAGCUCAGUGGUAGAGCGCUUGCCUAGGAAGCGUGAGGCCCUGGGUUGUUCAGUUCCCA